ACAUGACGAUGGCCUGUUUACUUUGCUCUGGAGUGAGGCUCUCGCGCGGAUUCUGCCUUCCCAGACAGUUCAAGAACCAACCAACCAGCUGGGCCUGGCGACUAGAAAGCAUAGUCAGUUGCCCUGGAAUAGGUUGAUUGCACCCCAAAAGUGCUUUUCCGCCUCUCCCCGUCACAGGUGUUUGCAGCUCCAUUUUCCCUCUGAGUCGGCUUGUCCGUUACUAGGUUUGCGUUCCUUGAUGGGGUCUGUUAUUCCAAGGUCUUCGGCAGUGGCGCUAUCCACCCAGUUUGGCUGCGGGGCUGAGAAGGUGCCUUGCAUUUUGUAUUGUGUGUCCUUGGCGGGUCUGUGCCUCCCUUCUGUCUGUUUUCCCUCAGGACCACCCACCGCCCCUUGCUUGUAUCUACAACAGCUAUAAGGAAGAAUAUAUAGAUUAAUCGCCUUGCUGCAGGGUGCCAGUUACCCAGUGGCUCUGGCAGACCCAGUCAAUGGAUCCUUUAGUGUGGCCUUCAUCAGUAGAGCUGCCACUGCUAGCACCCAAAAGGUAGCACUAAUAUGCAUGUGUCACCUGAAAAUUACAAUGUAAACAGUGGGGCAACACAUGUAUAGGAAGGUAAAUUUUAAUUAAAAGUCUGUUCUCCAACUUAGCCUGCCUUUAAAGAUACAGAAAUGCCAAGCUGUCAGGCUGCCGGUCAGGUUAAGAGGGUUCUCUCGUGCACUGUGGACCAAGCUGGAAGAACUAGGGCUUCAUUGAAAUCAGAUGCCUUUGAUUAAUUUUCUACCAAAUGCAUCCCAUAUGGGGAAGAUGUGCCCUCAAGUGGUUAGCGGAGCCAGCAGGAGCCAAAGCUUCCUGAGAAGUGCUGGGUCUUCUUUCCUGCAGUGUCAGGGGUGCAGACAGUACAGAGGGAGGGUAUGAGAGUCGAGGCAUGUGCCAAAAAGGAGCAGGUGGGAAAAAGGAGCCCGUGGCUCAGCAGCAAAUUGUGGAUGCCGAGUGGACGUGGCUUUUGAGGCCCUAUGCCCAGUGGUCAUCCUGAAUUUGCUGCACUGCCUGGGGAGGGGGUGGAUGGAGGAGGGAAACUGGCCACCUCCAGAGGCAACCCUGUUGGAUAAAACUCACUGUUAGAACCAUCAGAAGUCCAUUUUCCUAUGGAAAUCUACAGGGAAGGGGUAGAGAAGAGCUGCAGAGUCUAUUAAAUAUGUGCUUGCUGCCUGGUCUCUGGUACAGUCUGGAAAUCAGAUUUGUACAGUGGAAAUUCAUUCAUGCAACAAAUAGUUAUUGAGUGCCUACAAUAUGCUGGUGGUACUAGGGACUGGGGAUACAGCGGUGGGUGAGCUAAAGGCACAGUGCCCUCACCGAGACUUGUAUGCCACUGGAGAACAUGGAUUAAACAAGGCAUUAUGUGAUCAGCGUAUCAGUGCCAUACGGGCAGUGGGCCAAGGUGCUGAUGGGUGCACACCGGGGACACCUAGUUCUUAAGUGACGUUUUAGGCUCG
rnacentral:lncRNA from 1 species